AACUUUUAACAACGGAUCUCUUGGCUCUCGCAUCGAUGAAGAACGCAGCGAAAUGCGAAAAGUAAUGUGAAUUGCAGAAUUCAGGGAAUCAUCGAAUCUUUGAACCCACCUUGCACUCUCUGGUAUUCCGGGGAGACCGCCUGUUCGAGUGUCAUUAAAACUCUAAAAUACAUAAGGCUUUUUAUCCAUCUCUGUUUGGAUUUGGGCCUUGCUGUAUUAAGGGGGCUAGUCUUAAAUGUAUUGGCUGGUCCUCAUUGUGGUUUUGGUUCUCCUCAGCGUGAUAAUUAUCUAACGUUGAUGACAGUCUCAGAACUGGCCAUGGCUCUCUCUGGAUUGCUUAUACAUUGUCUUGAGGACAAUUGCUUAAUUUCUGACCUCGACUCAGGUGGGACUACCCGCUGAACUUAAGCAUAUCAAUAAGCGGAGGCU
rnacentral:misc_RNA from 1 species